rnacentral:snRNA from 1 species
GUAAAGCCAAUGAUUAGAGG